rnacentral:tRNA from 1 species
GGAGGCGUACGUGUCCUGGUGGGCGCCCCGGUCUUCAAAACCGGUGAGACCAAGUAUCUUGGCCUGGCAAGUUCGAUUCUUGUCCGCCUCCGCCA